UAAUCAUUAGUCUUUUAAUUGAAGGCUGGUAUGAACGGUUGGACGAGGUAUAAGCUGUUUCAUAUAAAUUUAUAAUAGAAUUUUAUAUUUUAGUCAAAAAGCUAAAAUAUAUUUAAAAGACGAGAAGACCCUAUAAAUCUUUAUAUUUUGUGUUGUUUAAAUUUUUUGGAAUCGGUUUAUUUUUAUAAUAUAAAAUAUUUUGUUGGGGUGAUAUUAAAAUUUAAUUAACUUUUAAUUAUUUAAAAUCAUUAAUUUAUGAGUUAUUGAUCCAUUAAUAGUGAUUAUAAGAUUAAGUUACUUUAGGGAUAACAGCGUAAUUUUUUUGGAGAGUUCAUAUCGAUAAAAAAGUUUGCGACCUCGAUGUUGGAUUAAGAUAUAAUUUUAGGUGUAGUCGCUUAAAUGUUAAGUCUGUUCGACUUUUAAAUUCUUACAUGAUCUGAGUUCAGACCGGCGUAAGCCAGGUUGGUUUCUAUCUUUAAAUUUUUAUAAUGCCUUAGUACGAAAGGACCAGGCAUUAAAAUAAUAAUAUUUUAUUUAUAGAAUGUGAUUAAUU
rnacentral:rRNA from 1 species